UAGGGAAUCUUCGGCAAUGGGGGGAACCCUGACCGAGCAACGCCGCGUGAGUGAAGAAGGUUUUCGGAUCGUAAAGCUCUGUUGUUAAGGAAGAACGAGCGUGAGAAUGGAAAGUUCAUGUGGUGAUGGUACUUAACCAGAAAGGGACGGCUAACUACGUGCCAGCAGCCGCGGUAAUACGUUGGUCCCGAUCGUUGUCCGGAUGUAUUGGGCGUAAAGCGAGCGCAGGCGGUUAGAAAAGUCUGAAGUGAAAGGCAGUGGCUCAACCAUUGUAGGCUUUGGAAACUGUUUAACUUGAGUGCAGAAGGGGAGAGUGGAAUUCCAUGUGUGGCGGUGAAAUGCGUAGAUAGAUGGAGGAAAAACGGUGGCGAAAGAGGAUCUCUGGUCUGUAACUGACGCUGAGGCUCGAAAGCGAGGGGAGCGAACAGG
rnacentral:rRNA from 1 species